GCUGGGCGCAGUGGUGCACACCUGUGAUCCCAGCAGCUCGGGAGGCUGAGGCAGGAGGAUCACGAGUUUAAAGCCAAUACAAGCAACUCAGUGAGACCCUGUCUCUA
rnacentral:sRNA from 1 species